CAAGCCGGGUGGCGGCAGCGCUGUGAACCCCGUCAGGUCCGAAAGGAAGCAGCGGCAGCAGUUGCUGCCGGGUGCCCGGCUCUCUC
rnacentral:SRP_RNA from 1 species